GACCUGGCCCUGGGAGACGCUGCCCGGCACGAGCCCUUGGCUCCCGCGGCCGGAAGUGCUGGGGGCGCGCGGGGGUCUCGGAGGCGGGGACAAAGACCCGGAGCGGCGGCGACUCCGCCCCGCAGCAGGAAGAGAGUGAAGCACACCUGGAUUGGAUAGUGCUUGUUAUUACAGAUAAGGGUGCACUUUCUAGAUUCUUCUCCUGAGUGGCAAAGUUUUCCCACCGUCUUGUCCAAACAUACUUUGCUGAUGGUAUCUCUGGGCACUACAUAGUGCAAGGGACAAGGAAAAAGGGCUUUUCCAGAGGAGAGUGACCUGCAUCUUGGAGGAACUCUAGAACAUGUUCGAGGAAUGGUGACUGGGGCUUCUGGAGCCAAGGGCUGACUCAGGGAACAGAUCUCAGCUCAAGACCUCAGUAAUAUUUUGGAAAUGUGUCUGAAAGUGUUUUGCAAGACUGAAGAAGUUGCAUGAGAAGCUUUCCAGGAUCACAAUGGAAAGGAAAGGAAAACACUUGCCUUCAUGAGAAACCCUCUAAAUUUUAGUUCAGACAGUAACUUUAAUUCCAGGAGAUGG
rnacentral:sRNA from 1 species